UUAACUCAAAUUUGUACGGAGUUGGAACGUUUGCCUACGUAUGCCGCUAGGGGCGCUGUUCCAGCUACAUACAAAUUUGAGUUA
rnacentral:pre_miRNA from 1 species